UCUGAGUCGCCGAACCUCUCUUUUCCUCUGCGUGAAACCUCUCUUCAGCCGUCGUCCCGCCAAAGCUCCCUCUCAGUCGUCGCGCCGUUGUCACGCAAGCAGUAGCAGUUCGUGCAGAUCAGUAUCCGUAUUUCCGGAGCAGGUUGCAGCUUCCAGCAGCAGUUCUGCCACUCUCUGAGAUUUCUGGGUCUUCAUUGGCUAAUAUUUGCCUUGUGUUGUAAUAAGCUAUUGAAGGAGGCUACAACCAUAUCACUCUGCCUUCAUACGUGUUAGUUCCUCUUAAUCUCCCUUCCUUCAAUUGUUUCUUGAUUUUGUGCUAAUUUUGUGAUCUGGGUCUCCUUUUGUUUUUCAUUUUAUGAUUCUGCUUCUUCAUAAUUUGUGCUUUUGUUAUCUAGGGUUUGAGUCUAUCAUGCAAAUUCUGAUUUUUCUCUCAGAUUGUUUUGUAUUUGAUUUGCAUUUUGUGCAAUGCUGCCACUUGUGUUUCCAUGAACCAAAACAAAUCAUGAGAAGGAACUAUACAGAGGGAUGCUAUAUUUUAUUAUGUAGAGAAUUACGAAUUUGGGUUCUGCCACUUGAGGAUGUAUAUAUAUAGCUUUUAACUCAUAUACUGUUUUGUUCUUACAUGUGUAAGGACCUAAUUUUGAGCUUUAUUAAGCUGUAUUAUGUUUUAUUAAUCUGUUUUGAGCUUUAUUACAUGUGUAAGGACCUAAUUUUAAUACAUGUCUCACUCUCAUAUCAUAAGCUUUAUUAUGUGUAAGGACCUAGUUCGAUAUUAUGAGUUCAUCCACACCUAGCACCAUAGCUCCAGCUACUUUUCAAUGUUAGGAGGAAUUUAAUGAAGUUUGAUUGAAUUUGGAUUGUAAUAUAUAUUUGGAUUGAAUUUUGGUUGUAUUUGGCUUGUAAUUUA